rnacentral:rRNA from 1 species
GAUGAACGCUGGCGGCGUGCCUAAUACAUGCAAGUCGAACGCUGAAGGAAGGAGCUUGCUCUUUCCGGAUGAGUUGCGAACGGGUGAGUAACGCGUAGGUAACCUGCCUGGUAGCGGGGGAUAACUAUUGGAAACGACAGCUAAUAACGCAUAACAGUAGAUGUUGCAUGAUAUCUACUUAAAAGGUGCAAUUGCACCACUACCAGAUGGACCUGCGUUGUAUUAGCUAGUUGGUGAGGUAACGGCUCAUCAAGGCGACGAUGCAUAGCCGACCUGAGAGGGUGGACGGCCACCCUGGGACUGGAGCACGGCCCAAACUUCUUCAGGGAGCAGCAAGAGGGGAACUUCGGCAAAGGGCGGAAAUCUGGCCGAAGAACGCCGGGGGGGUGGAAGAAGGUUUCGGGUCGGAAAAGUCUGUUGUAAGGGAAGGACGAGUAGGAGAGUGAAAAGUUCACACUGUGACGGUAUCUUACCAGAAAGGGACGGCUAACUACGUG